rnacentral:rRNA from 1 species
GCAUAACGCGAAGAACCUUACCUAGGCUUGACAUGCACUGUGUCUACGGUGAAAGCCGUAUAGUGUAGCAAUACACGCUUUGCACAGGUGCUGCAUGGCUGUCGUCAGCUCGUGUCGUGAGAUGUUGGGUUAAGUCCCGCAACGAGCGCAAACCCCUGUGAUUUGUUGCCACCGGAGCAAUCCGAGCACUCGAAUCAGACUGCCCAGAUCAACUGGGAGGAAGGUGGGGAGUGACGUCAAGUCCGUAUGGCCCUUACGCUAGGGCUGCACACGUACUACAAUGCCCAGUACAAUGUGAACCGAGACCGCGAGGUGGAGGAAAUCAAUAAAACUAGGGCCCGAGUUCAGAUUGUAGGCUGCAACUCGCCUACAUGAAGUCGGAAUCGCUAGUAAUGGCGCAUCAGCAACGGCGCCGUGAAUACGUUCCCGGGUCUUGUACACACC